rnacentral:rRNA from 1 species
CAGGUUUACCUGUGUGACUGCGUACCUUUUGUAUAAUGGGUCAGCGACUUAUAUUCUGUAGCAAGGUUAACCGAAUAGGGGAGCCGGAGGGAAACCGAGUCUUAACCGGGCGUUAAGUUGCAGGGUAUAGACCCGAAACCCGGUGAUCUAGCCAUGGGCAGGUUGAAGGUUGGGUAACACUAACUGGAGGACCGAACCGACUAAUGUUGAAAAAUUAGCGGAUGACCUGUGGCUGGGGGUGAAAGGCCAAUCAAACCGGGAGAUAGCUGGUUCUCCCCGAAAGCUAUUUAGGUAGCGCCUCGUGAAUUCAUCUCCGGGGGUAGAGCACUGUUUCGGCUAGGGGGCCAUCCCGGCUUACCAACCCGAUGCAAACUGCGAAUACCGGAGAAUGUUAUCACGGGAGACACACGGCGGGUGCUAACGUCCGUCGUGAAGAGGGAAACAACCCAGACCGCCAGCUAAGGUCCCAAAGUCAUGGUUAAGUGGGAAACGAUGUGGGAAGGCCCAGACAGCCAGGAUGUUGGCUUAGAAGCAGCCAUCAUUUAAAGAAAGCGUAAUAGCUCACUGGUCGAGUCGGCCUGCGCGGAAGAUGUAACGGGGCUAAACCAUGCACC